rnacentral:rRNA from 1 species
AUUGAACGCUGGCGGCAGGCCUAACGCAUGCAAGUCGAGCGGCAGCGGGAAAGUAGCUUGCUACUUUUGCCGGCGAGCGGCGGACGGGUGAGUAAUGCCUGGGAAAUUGCCCAGUCGAGGGGGAUAACAGUUGGAAACGACUGCUAAUACCGCAUGCGCCCUACGGGGGAAAGCAGGGGACCUUCGGGCCUUGCGCGAUUGGAUAUGCCCAGGUGGGAUUAGCUAGUUGGUGAGGUAAUGCCUCACCAAGGCGACGAUCCCUAGCUGGUCUGAGAGGAUGAUCAGCCACACUGGAACUGAGACACGGUCCCGACUCCUCCGGGAGGCAGCAGUGGGGAAUAUUGCACAAUGGGGGAAACCCUGAUGCAGCCAUGCCGCGUGUGUGAAGAAGGCCUUCGGGUUGUAAAGCACUUUCAGCGAGGAGGAAAGGUUGAUGCCUAAUACGUAUCAACUGUGACGUUACUCGCAGAAGAAGCACCGGCUAACUCCGUGCCAGCCGCCGCCGUAAUAC